AAAAAAAUUAAAGCUGCUACCGACCUCUCGCUUUUACAAAGUAUUUUUCAUGGGUUUUUUUUUUGGCUCUUUAACCCAAUAGGAAAGCUGUAUAUGACCUUUUCAUUUUGGACUGUUAACAUUCAAAUUAUGAUGGACUUGUUUUCUUGUUUAUGUGAAUUACAGCAUCAUUAGCUGCAACAUCUGCCUGUUCUGUAAAACUGGUAGCUCGACAGCAUCCUGAGGGCAAUUAAGUGACAAAUAUUGUGCAAGAACAGCAUGAUUACAACCCUGUCAAUUUCCACUUCUUAGAAUGUUUACUGCCAAUUAUCACACAUAAAACAAGAAAUAAUAUUCUGUACUAAUACUUCUGUACUACCCAAUACACAGUGAAUAAAUAUUAUCUGAAAGUCAGGUUAUUAUUGUUUAUCAGCACAAUACAAAAAGAUUCAUGUUAGACAUAUUCCAGUUAAGACUAGAAUAUUAUGAUUUAUGUAAAUUUACCUCAAUAAUAUGAAUGUUCAGGUUAAGACUGUACAGUGAUAUUUAUUUUGCAAGUUUAGCUGAUUAAAGUUUAUGACUCUGCACUACAAUAUUAUUUAUUAUUUAAAUUUACAUCAUUAUUAUAAUAUUUAGGGUCAGACUCUACAGUAUUAAGAUUAAGAAAUCAAAUAUUCUAUAAAAUGUAAAUACACUGAACUCAUUUGGAGAUAUUUAAGUGAGACUCGACAAUAUUAUUUGACACAAAUCUAUCUAAAUCAAAAUUAUCAUCAUUUUUAUUCCAAACAUUUACUGGACUGAUUUAAACAUUAAAAUCACUCCUUUCUAAUCCUCUGCUGUACAUUCAAACCUGAGGCCUUAAAUAGAAACACACAAGUAUCUGAUUGAAGGAACUUCUGCAGAGUCCUGGUUCCACAACAUGAUGAUAGAAUUAUAGACAAACUUUAACAAAAGCUGCCUGAGAGUUUACAGGUUUUUAUGUUGGAUUUCUUCAGUAAUUUAAUGAGAGUUUUCAGCAAAAAUCAAGUGUUCAUUUGAUGAACUUCAUUUCCUAAAACAUCCCGAAUUGGAGCUCAUAUCUUUGGCAGCUGUAAAGUUUCUGCUCCUUCAAAGUUCACAACACAAUGAAUGAAUUCCUAAAACACUCUCAAUGCUGUAGAACGUUUGAUGCUGAAGCAGUGACCAGUUUUUCUGUUUCUUCUCUGGAGAUGCACAAUGAGGGACGUCUGCAGCGACUGAGAAAGAGUCUCACCACAUCCUGACAUGAGGAAAAAGACUUUAUUGAAGACUACAAUGAGAAAAACUAUCAGACAGCAGACGGCUGCAUUCAAGUCUGUAGCUGCUGAAUUCAUGGAUGAAUCAUCUGGCACUAGAGAGGAAGACCAUCAAACAUCCACGUCAGCUGAUGGAGGUCCAAGAGUCUCACCCAACAAACAACCUACAGAGUGAAGACCUCCAAUCUGAUUGGACGGCCUCCUAUUCAGCCACAUGUGUGAACAAAUGCCUCUAAGCUGAUUUGUUUUCUAAAAUAAAUCUAGUUUGAGUCCUAA